rnacentral:rRNA from 1 species
GGGUUGUGAGGUUAAGCGACUAAGCGUACACGGUGGAUGCCCUGGCAGUCAGAGGCGAUGAAGGACGUGCUAAUCUGCGAUAAGCGUCGGUAAGGUGAUAUGAACCGUUAUAACCGGCGAUUUCCGAAUGGGGAAACCCAGUGUGUUUCGACACACUAUCAUUAACUGAAUCCAUAGGUUAAUGAGGCGAACCGGGGGAACUGAAACAUCUAAGUACCCCGAGGAAAAGAAAUCAACCGAGAUUCCCCCAGUAGCGGCGAGCGAACGGGGAGGAGCCCAGAGCCUGAAUCAGUGUAUGUGUUAGUGGAAGCGUCUGGAAAGGCGCGCGAUACAGGGUGACAGCCCCGUACACAAAAAUGCACAUGCUGUGAGCUCGAUGAGUAGGGCGGGACACGUGGUAUCCUGUCUGAAUAUGGGGGGACCAUCCUCCAAGGCUAAAUACUCCUGACUGACCGAUAGUGAACCAGUACCGUGAGGGAAAGGCGAAAAGAACCCCGGCGAGGGGAGUGAAAAAGAACCUGAAACCGUGUACGUACAAGCAGUGGGAGCAUGCUUAGGCGUGUGACUGCGUACCUUUUGUAUAAUGGGUCAGCGACUUAUAUUCUGUAGCAAGGUUAACCGAAUAGGGGAGCCGAAGGGAAACCGAGUCUUAACUGGGCGUUAAGUUGCAGGGUAUAGACCCGAAACCCGGUGAUCUAGCCAUGGGCAGGUUGAAGGUUGGGUAACACUAACUGGAGGACCGAACCGACUAAUGUUGAAAAAUUAGCGGAUGACUUGUGGCUGGGGGUGAAAGGCCAAUCAAACCGGGAGAUAGCUGGUUCUCCCCGAAAGCUAUUUAGGUAGCGCCUCGUGAACUCAUCUCCGGGGGUAGAGCACUGUUUCGGCAAGGGGGUCAUCCCGACUUACCAACCCGAUGCAAACUGCGAAUACCGGAGAAUGUUAUCACGGGAGACACACGGCGGGUGCUAACGUCCGUCGUGAAGAGGGAAACAACCCAGACCGCCAGCUAAGGUCCCAAAGUCAUGGUUAAGUGGGAAACGAUGUGGGAAGGCCCAGACAGCCAGGAUGUUGGCUUAGAAGCAGCCAUCAUUUAAAGAAAGCGUAAUAGCUCACUGGUCGAGUCGGCCUGCGCGGAAGAUGUAACGGGGCUAAACCAUGCACCGAAGCUGCGGCAGCGACGCUUAUGCGUUGUUGGGUAGGGGAGCGUUCUGUAAGCCUGUGAAGGUGUACUGUGAGGUAUGCUGGAGGUAUCAGAAGUGCGAAUGCUGACAUAAGUAACGAUAAAGCGGGUGAAAAGCCCGCUCGCCGGAAGACCAAGGGUUCCUGUCCAACGUUAAUCGGGGCAGGGUGAGUCGACCCCUAAGGCGAGGCCGAAAGGCGUAGUCGAUGGGAAACAGGUUAAUAUUCCUGUGCUUGGUGUUACUGCGAAGGGGGGACGGAGAAGGCUAUGUUGGCCGGGCGACGGUUGUCCCGGUUUAAGCGUGUAGGCUGGUUUUCCAGGCAAAUCCGGAAAAUCAAGGCUGAGGCGUGAUGACGAGGCACUACGGUGCUGAAGCAACAAAUGCCCUGCUUCCAGGAAAAGCCUCUAAGCAUCAGGUAACAUCAAAUCGUACCCCAAACCGACACAGGUGGUCAGGUAGAGAAUACCAAGGCGCUUGAGAGAACUCGGGUGAAGGAACUAGGCAAAAUGGUGCCGUAACUUCGGGAGAAGGCACGCUGAUAUGUAGGUGAAGCGACUUGCUCGUGGAGCUGAAAUCAGUCGAAGAUACCAGCUGGCUGCAACUGUUUAUUAAAAACACAGCACUGUGCAAACACGAAAGUGGACGUAUACGGUGUGACGCCUGCCCGGUGCCGGAAGGUUAAUUGAUGGGGUUAGCGCAAGCGAAGCUCUUGAUCGAAGCCCCGGUAAACGGCGGCCGUAACUAUAACGGUCCUAAGGUAGCGAAAUUCCUUGUCGGGUAAGUUCCGACCUGCACGAAUGGCGUAAUGAUGGCCAGGCUGUCUCCACCCGAGACUCAGUGAAAUUGAACUCGCUGUGAAGAUGCAGUGUACCCGCGGCAAGACGGAAAGACCCCGUGAACCUUUACUAUAGCUUGACACUGAACAUUGAGCCUUGAUGUGUAGGAUAGGUGGGAGGCUU